rnacentral:rRNA from 1 species
GACGAACGCUGGCGGCGUGCCUAAUACAUGCAAGUAGAACGCUGAAGGAGGAGCUUGCUCUUCUGGAUGAGUUGCGAACGGGUGAGUAACGCGUAGGUAACCUGCCUGGUAGCGGGGGAUAACUAUUGGAAACGAUAGCUAAUACCGCAUAACAGUAGAAGUUGCAUGACAUUUACUUAAAAGGUGCAAUUGCAUCACUACCAGAUGGACCUGCGUUGUAUUAGCUAGUUGGUGGGGUAACGGCUCACCAAGGCGACGAUACAUAGCCGACCUGAGAGGGUGAUCGGCCACACUGGGACUGAGACACGGCCCAGACUCCUACGGGAGGCAGCAGUAGGGAAUCUUCGGCAAUGGACGGAAGUCUGACCGAGCAACGCCGCGUGAGGGAAGAAGGUUUUCGGAUCGUAAAGCUCGGUUGUAAGAGAAGAACGAGUGUGAGAGUGGAAAGUUCACACUGUGACGGUAUCUUACCAGAAAGGGACGGCUAACUACGUG